rnacentral:lncRNA from 1 species
UGAAAGUGUUUCUGAAGAUGUCUUCUGGAAUUGGCAGAUCAUGAGAACCUUGAAGAAAGGAAUUUGUCUUUUCUGACUUUUUAUCCCUUCAGAAAGACCCCGUUGAGAGAUGGCAGCAUCCACAUCCAGGUUACUUCACCUUAACUUGAAGUACCUAAAUAAUAAUUAGAAAGAAGGUACAGAAAAAGCAAAAUUGGCUAUAAACAAGAAAUACACCGAUAAGCAACUGCAACACCCUUUGAGAUUAUUUUGAAAUUUCAGUAAUCAUAAUGAGAUAUACUUCAGUUAUUAGACAAAUAAAUAUGACAUUAAAAAGUGAAGUGCUUCAAAUCACUGGAAUAUAUAAGGAAUAUACUGUUCGUACUGAGAUUUUAAAUAAAUU